rnacentral:rRNA from 1 species
UAAGCGGAGGAAAAGAAACUAACAAGGAUUCCCCUAGUAACUGCGAGUGAAGCGGGAAAAGCUCAAAUUUAAAAUCUGGUGGUCUUUGGCCAUCCGAGUUGUAAUUUAGAGAAGCGUCUUCCGCGCUGGACCGUGCACAAGUCUCCUGGAAUGGAGCGUCAUAGAGGGUGAGAAUCCCGUCUUUGGCACGGAUGUACCAGGGCUUUUGUGAUGCGCUCUCGAAGAGUCGAGUUGUUUGGGAAUGCAGCUCAAAAUGGGUGGUGAACUCCAUCUAAAGCUAAAUAUUGGCGAGAGACCGAUAGCGAACAAGUACCGUGAGGGAAAGAUGAAAAGCACUUUGGAAAGAGAGUGAAACAGUACGUGAAAUUGUUGAAAGGGAAACGCUUGAAGUCAGUCGCGUCGACCGAGACUCAGCCUCGCCUUGGCUUGGUGUACUUCUCGGCUGACGGGUCAGUGUCAAUUUUGGGCCUCGGAUAAUGACAAGGGAAAGGUGGCACCUUUAUAGGUGUGUUAUAGUCUCCUGUCGGAUGCGAGGGUCGGGAUUGAGGAACUCAGCACGCGCCUUUUGGUGUCGGGGCUUCGGCCUACGCUACGUGCUUAGGAUGCUGGCAUAAUGGCUUUAAACGACC